AUGAGGAGCCAAGUGGGCUGGCCCUGCCCGCAGCUGCUGCCUGUGCCAGAGGCUCCAACCAUGAUUCGAAUCGCAGCCUUGAAUGCCAGCUCCACCGUCGAAGAUGAUCAUGAAGGAAGCUUUAAAAGUCACAAGACCCAGACGAAGGAGGCACAGGAAGCAGAGGCUUUUGCCUUGUACCACAAGGCCCUGGACCUGCAGAAGCACGACCGAUUUGAGGAGUCCGCCAAGGCCUACCACGAGCUGCUGGAGGCACGCCUGCUGCGGGAGGCGGUCCCGUCUGGUGAUGAGAAGGAGGGGCUGAAGCACCCUGGGCUGAUGCUGAAGUACUCCACAUACAAGAACCUGGCGCAGCUGGCCGCCCAGCGGGAGGACCUGGAGACGGCCAUGGAGUUCUACCUGGAGGCGGUCAUGCUGGACUCCACGGACGUCAACCUCUGGUAUAAGAUCGGACACGUGGCCCUGAGGCUCAUCCGGGUGCCCCUGGCUCGCCACGCGUUUGAGGAAGGGCUGCGGUGCAACCCUGACCACUGGCCCUGCCUGGACAACCUCAUCACUGUCCUGUACACCCUCAGCGACUACACCACAUGCCUGUACUUCAUCUGCAAGGCCUUGGAAAAGGACUGCCGCUACAGCAAGGGGCUGGUGCUCAAGGAGCAGAUCUUCCAGGAGCAGCCGCGCCUGCGCCAGGACUCCCUCCGCAUGUUCCUCCAGUGUGACAUGUCCAUCCACGAGGUGUCAGUGAGCGCAGCCGAGUCGCAGGCCAUCGUGGAUGAGGCCCUGGGGCUGCGCAGGAGGCGGCAGGCGCUGACGGUGCGUGAGAAGGAGCCGGACCUAAAGCUGGUGCAGCCCAUCCCCGUCCUCACCUGGAAGUGCCUCGGUGAGAGCCUGCUGGCCACAUACCACCACCUCACCACGUGCGAGCCCCCGCGGCCCAGUCUGGGCAAGAGGAUCGACCUGUCUGACUAUCAGGACCCCAGACAGCGUCCCGCGUCCCCCGAGGAGGCAGUGCCUGUCAGUGUGCUCCAGCCAAGCCCUGCCAGCGCCAGCCCUGCAGCCUCCGUGCCAGAGCCCGUGCUGGCAUUCACCCCCGUGGCCACGGCCAGCUUCCCGCUGCACAGCCCCAGCCUGCUGGAGACGGGCGUCCCCACCGGUGAUGUCUCCGGGGGAGAUAAAUCCAAGAAAGGGGUCAAACGGAAGAAGAUUUCCGAGGAGAGCGGGGAGACGGCCAAGCGGCGGUCUGCCCGCGUCCGAAACACCAAGUGCAAGAAGGAAGAGAAGGUGGACUUCCAGGAGCUGCUGCUGAAAUUCCUGCCGUCCAGGUUGAGAAAGCUGGACCCUGAGGAGGAAGACGACCCCUUUAACAGCUAUGAAGUCCCGCCAGAGGCCAAGCCGGAGAGCUUCCCCAGCGCGGGGGCCCACAGGCUGUCCUCCGACUCGGCCACGUUCAUGGAGUCUGAGAAGCAGGACGUGCACGCCUUUCUGCUGGGGAACCUGAGCAACGGGGGGCGUCCUGGAGCUGAUGGUGUGCUUCCUGAAGAGCAUGGGCCUCAGGUUCCUGCUGCGCUGGCCGCCGGGCCUGGCGGAGGUCGUGCUCAGCACCUACCACAGCUGGCGGAGGCACAGCGCCAGCCUGCCCAACCCGCUGCUCAGGGACUGCAGCAACCGGCACAUCCAGGAGAUGAUGCUGAUGUCUCUUUCCUGCAUGGAGCUGCAGCUGGACCAGUGGCUGCUGACCAAGGGCCGGAGCUCUGCAGUGUCUCCUCGGAACUGCCCCGCAGGCGUGCUGAAUGGCAGGUUCGGCCCCGACUUCCCAGGGGCCCACUUCCUGGGGGACCUCCUGCAACUGUCGUUUGCCUCAUCCCAGCGGGACCUGUUUGAGGAUGGCUGGUUGGAGUUUGUGGUCCGCGUGUACUGGUUGAAGGCUCGAUUCCUGGCGCUGCAGGUUGGUCUGGGGGCAGCUGCUUUGGGGAGGGAAACCUGGGGCACCCGCUCGGUACGGGGGAGGGGCUAGGUCACAUCGAUGGAGCGUG
ensembl:lincRNA